CGAGUGUCAUAUCUCAUGUCACUCCGCCCACCACUAGAGGUCAGCCUUAGAAUUAAAAGGUGUUCUUCUAGGAAGGAGAUGAGGAGGAAUUUCUUUAGUCAGAGGGUGGUGCCAGCACAAUAACCUGGCCCUCAACACCAGCAAAACCAAGGAACUUUGGAAGGAGUAGGAGGGGGACCCACAGCCCCAUUUAUAUCAACGGGUCGAUGGUUGAAAGGGUCAAGAGCUUCAAAUUCCUGGGCGUGCACAUCUCUGAAGAUCCCUCCUGGUCCGAGAACACUAAUGCAAUUAUAAAGAAAGCACAUCCGCGCCUCUACUUCCUGAGAAGAUUACGGAGAGUCGGUAUGUCAAGGAGGACUCUCUCUAACCUCUACAGUAGAGAGCAUGCUGAACGGUUGCAUCGUGGCUUGGUUCGGCAACUUGAUCGCCCUGGAGAGGAAGAGACUACAAAAAGUAGUAAACACUGCCCAGUCCAUCAUCGGCUCUGACCUUCCUUCCAUCGAGGGGAUUUAUCGCAGUCACUGCCUCAAAAAGGCUGGCAGCAUCAUCAAAGACCCACACCAUCCUGGCCACACACUCAUCUCCCUGCUACCUUCAGGUAGAAGGUACAGGAGCCUGAAGACUGCAACAACCAGGUUCAGGAAUAGCUACUUCCCCACAGCCAUCAGGCUAUUAAACCUGGCUGAAACAAAACUCUGAACAUUAAUAGCCCAUUAUCUGUUUAUUUGCAUUUUAUCAGUUUAUUUAUUCAUGUGUGUAUAUAUUUAUAUUAUGGUAUAUGGACACACUGAUCUGUUCUGUAGUCAUGCCUACUAUGUUCUGUGUGCUGAAGCAAAGCAAGAAUUUAAUUGUCCUAUCAGGGACACAUGACAAUAAAAUCUCUUGAACUUGAACUCUUGGUGAAUCUGUUCAAUUCUUUGCCACAGACGGCUGUGGAGGCAAAGUCAGUGAAUAUGUUUAAGGCGGAGAUAGAUUGUUGAUUAGUACGGGUGUCAGAGGUUAUGGGGAGAAGGCAAGAGAAUGAGUUUAGGAUGGAGAUAGAUCAGCCAUGAUUGAAUUGCGAAGUAGACUUGAUGGGCCAAAUGGCCUAAUUCUACUCCCAUCACUUAUGAUCUUAUGACGCUAUUUGGCCCAUCUAGCCUGUGCUGGCUCUUCAGAAUGAAGAAGGGUUUCGGCCCAAAACGUUGCCUAUUUCCUUCGCUCCAUAGAUGCUGCUGCACCCGCUGAGUUUCUCCAGCAUUUUGUGUACCAUUGAGUAUAGAAGUUGGGAUGUAAUGUUAAAAUUGUACAAGGCAUUGGUGAUGCCAAUUCUGGAGUAUGGUGUACAAUUUUGGUCGCCAAAUUAUAGGAAAGAUGUCAACAAACUAGAGAGAGUACAGAGGAGAUUUACUAGAAUGUUGCCUGGGUUUCAGCACCUAAGUUACAGAGAAAGGUUGAACAAGAUAGGUCUUUAUUCUUUGGAGCGCAGAAGGUUAAGGGGGGACUUGAUAGAGGUCUUUAAAAUGAUGAGAGGGAUAGACAGAGUUGACGUGGAUAAGCUUUUCCCACUGAGAGUAGGGAAGAUUCCAGUGAAGGUGGUGGAGGCAGGUUUGAUUUUAUCAUUUAAAAAUAAAUUGGAUAGGUGUAUGGACGGGAAAGGAAUGGAGGGUUAUGGUCUGAGUGCAGGUAGAUGGGACUAGGGGAGAAUAAGUGUUCGGCACGGACUAGAAGGGCCGAGAUGGCCUGUUCCCGUGCUGUAAUUGUUAUAUGGUUAUGGCCACAGCCCAGGAGGCAGUAGGGGAAGGAGAGAACUCAAGGAGAACGCAAUUUUACUCAGACGUGCGAGGUGCUGCAUUUUGGGACGUUAACAAUAAAUGGCAGGGCGCUGGAGAAUGUUCUAGAGCAGAGAGAACAAGGUGUACAAAAACAGAUCCCUGAAAGUGGUGACACAGUUAGAAUUAGAGGAGGAUGUGUCAGAAGGAACGGUUUAAACUGAAGAUAGACACAAAAAGCUGGGGUAACUCAGCGGGCCAGACUGAAGAAUCACCUAUUUCUCUUCUCCUGAGGAAUAUGUUUGGUCAGGACAUUGACCACAGGAGUUGGGACAUCAUGCUCCACUGUACAAGAUGUCCGUUCAACCACACUUGUAUCAUGUACAGUGCUGGCUGCCCAAGCAUGGGAGUGAAGUCAUUCUGUUCGAAAGGAAGCAGAAUAGAUUCACCAUGAUGUUCACCAGCACUGGAAGGCUUAAGUUACAGGAAGAUGUUGGAAAGGUUGGAACUGUUUGGCCUGGAGCAUAGGAGGUUGAGCGCCAACUUUAUAGAAAUUUAUAGAAACAUAGAAAAUAUAGGAUCAGGAGUUGGCCAUUCGGCCCUUCGAGCCAGCACCGCCAUUCAAUAUGAUCAAGGCUGAUCAUCCAAAAUCAGUAUCCCGUUUCCCAUAUCCCUUGAUUCCCUGAGCCCUAAGAGCUAAAUCUAAUUCUCUCUUGAAAACAUCCAGUGAAUUCACCUCCACUGCCUUCUGUGGCAGAGAAUUCUACAGAUUCACAGCUAUAUGGGUGAUUUUUCCUCAUCUCAGUCCUACAUGGCCCACAGUUCUUAAAACGUUGCCCCUGGUUCUGGACUCCCCCAACAUCAGGAACAGUUUUCCUGCAUUUAGCCUGUCCGAUCCCUUAAGAAUUUUAUGUGUUUCUAUUGUAAGAUAUCCUCUCAUCCUUCUAAAUUUCAGUGAAUAUAAGCCCAGUCGACCCAUUCUUUCAUCAUAUGUCAGUCCCGCCAUCCCAGGAAUUAACCUUGUGAACCUAUGCUGCACUCCCUCAAUAGCAAGAAUGUCCUUCCUCAAAUUAGGAGACCAAAACUGCGCACAAUACUCCAGGUGUGGUCUCACCAGGGCCCUGUUCAACUGCAGUAGGACAUCCCUGCUCCCAUACUCAAAUCGUCUUGCUGUACCUGCAUGCCUACUUCUCGUUGCACCUCCCUUUUUCCUUAUCGGAUUAUAAAAUUCUAUUAUAAAAUCAUGAGGUGCAUGUUGCAGAAUAUAAUGCUGGAUCAACUCAGCAGGUCAGGCAGCAGGUCUGGAGAAAAGCAAUAGGUGAUGUUUUGGGACGAGACCCUUCUUCAGACUGGUUUCAGUCUGUUUCCCAGGGCACAGGUGUCCAAAACUAAAGGGCCAAGGUUUAAGAUGAAGUAGGUGAAGCAGGUACAAUUGCAAUGUUCAAAAGAUAUAUGAACAAGUACAUGGGCAGGAAAGGUUCAGAAGGAUACGGGCCAAAUGCAUUCAAAAUGGAACGUGUUCUUGGCAACUUGGUUAGCACGGGUGAGAUGGGCUGCAGGGUUUAUUUCCAUGCUGUGUAACUGUAUAAAUCUCUUGAGACAUCACGUUCCAAAAUAGAUCCAACAAACAAUUCUAGCGCUCUCCUCCCAUGUGCAGGCGGUGACACCAGACCAGUCUCCUCCUCCCCUGCCCACAUCUGCUGCUCUGCCAUUUCUUUAAGCUUCCUCUGCCCCAAUGAAGCCAGUUGUACAGUGAGCAAAACAAAAGAGUGGUGAAUCAUGGAACUCUCUGCCACAGAAGGUAGUUGAGGCCAGUUCAUUGGAUAUAUAUAAGGCAAGGCAAGGAGAGGCAACUUUAUUUAUAUAGUACAUUUCAUAUAUGAGGCAGACUCAAAGUGCUUCACAUAAAAACAUGUCAUACAAUAAAAUGAAAUAAUAAAAUGAAAUAAAAUAGAAAAAUUAAAAGAAAAUAAAGCAAAAUUAAAAAUGCAUUAUAAAAAGUGCAAAAGUUAAAAGUGUAAUGUAGUUAAGAUUUAGCUGAAAGCUAAAGUAAACAUAAAAGUUUCAGUCUUGUUUUAAAAGUGGUCAAAGUUGAGGCAAGUCUUAAAUCUUCAGGAAGUUUAUUCCAGCUAUUUGUUGCAUAGUAACUAAAUCCUGCUUUCCCAUGUUUUGUAUUUACUCUGGGAAUCACUAACAGAUUGGUCUCAGAAGAUCUUAGCGGUCUAGAAGGCAUAUAGUAGAAGCAUGUCAGUGAUAUACUUUGGCCCUAAACCAUUUAAGAGGGAGUUAGAUGUGGCCCUUGUGGCUAAAGAGAUCAGGGGGUAUGGAGAGAAGGCAGGUACAGGAUACUGAGUUGGAUGAUCAGCCAUGAUCAUAUUGAAUGGCGGUGCAGGCUUGAAGGGCCGAAUGGCCUACUCCUGCACCUAUUUUGUAUAUUUCUAUGACCCGAGUCGUGGUCUGUCCAUUCCCUCCACAGUUGCUGCUUGACCUGCUAAGAUACUCCAGCACUUGGUUAAACGCCACCUAUCCAUGUUCUCCACAGAUGCUGCCUGGCCCGCUGAGAUACUCCAGCACUUUGUUUUUGCUGAAGAUUCCAGCAGUCUCAAGCAUCUUGAAAGUUCUCACAGAAGAAUCUUUUUCUUGGUUCUUGGUCCUCCAAAAUAUUCCAAAUGGAAUUUAAACUGGAGGUGGUGAAGGGAGGGCUUUAGCCAGAAAAGGAUUAUUGGAAAGAAAGGGCUACUUUAAAUGUAGUUGCAUCUGGUUGGGUAACUAUAGUUGGGUGGAGAUUAUUCCAUGCUUUAAUUGUGCGGGGGAAGAACGAAUUGUUGUACACAUCUGUCUUUGUAGCUGGGAUCACAAAUUGGAUCUAAUGCCCUCGUCUGCUCCUAAUUGGUUUGGGUUUGGUGUAGGUCUUGUAAUCUAUGUCGAGCUGACCAUUUAA